UUGCUAGUAAUCGCGGAUCAGCAUGCCGCGGUGAAUACGUUCCCGGGCCUUGUACACACCGCCCGUCACACCAUGGGAGCCGGUAAUACCCGAAGUCAGUAGUCUAACCGCAAGGGGGACGCGGCCGAAGGUGGGUUCGAUAAUUGGGGUGAAGUCGUAACAAGGUAUC
rnacentral:rRNA from 1 species